UGGGGAAUAUUGCACAAUGGAGGGAACUCUGAUGCAGCGACGCCGCGUGAACGAAGAAGGCUUUCGAGUCGUAAAGUUUUUUUAUAUGGGAAGAUAAUGACGGUACCAUAAGAAAAAGCCCCGGCUAACUACGUGCCAGCAGCCGCGGUAAUACGUAGGGGGCUAGCGUUGUCCGGAAUCACUGGGCGUAAAGGGUUCGCAGGCGGAAAUGCAAGUCAGGUGUAAAAGGCAGUAGCUUAACUACUGUAAGCAUUUGAAACUGCAUAUCUUGAGAAGAGUAGAGGUAAGUGGAAUUUUUAGUGUAGCGGUGAAAUGCGUAGAUAUUAAAAAGAAUACCGGUGGCGAAGGCGACUUACUGGGCUCAUUCUGACGCUGAGGAACGAAAGAGUGGGUAGCAAACAGG
rnacentral:rRNA from 1 species